AGAUGUAACUCGAUUAUCGCGUGUGUAGCACGCGCAUAUAUUGCUGUCCGAAGCCCAAGUUCAGCGGGUAAUAGUACUAAAUAUCCCCUGUCUUGUUUGACUCUAAUCAGUGUGGAUUCUGAAGCGGAAAAUAAUUUUCAUAAGGAUAUCAGGAAAUAGAAACGGAUAGCUACCAGGAGAUAUCGUAUGGAUAUUGCUAAAAAGGUGAAAACGUGUAAUUGUAAUAUAGAAUUUCUUUGAGGAGGAGAAGACUACGUCGCGAUAAGGUGUAUUGUCAUAUCAGCUGUUCUAAAGGGACCUUUAGUUCAUCCAGGUUACCUGUACCAGCAUGCAUGCAUUGGCGACUGGAAACGUACGUACUGACUGACAAUCACAUAUCCCUAGCAGACGACAUAACAUAACCAACAGACGACAGACUGCACAGACGGUCGGCGAGGAGAAAAAGUCGAGGCAAAGACUGGGCAAAUAAUUAGGCGGGAAAUGAGACAUCAACGCAACAUCUCCCAUUAGACAGCUCCACCCUGGGAUGAUAAUGAUACUAUCUACCGCUGUGACGUCAUAAUGCUCUGUUCACGCUGGUGAAGUCAAGCACCAAGGUCAACCUACUUUUGAAAAGACAAUUCUAAACAGACGAUAUCCUGUCAGACAAGACUGGGCCAGCUAAUUGCAACAAUCUGUGCUACUGGGUACUCAGACUUCGGCAUCACCCGUAUCCAGGGAGUUCAAAAUUGAAACGGGUUAUUUUGCUUUAUCCUGACCCCGGAAACUUGGCGUUGAACGUCUCAUUACACUAUUAAUGGAACACUUUCUCCCUGUACUGGUAUAUGAGGUAUCAAGUACCACCAUCAUACGUUGUUGCAGUGAUUUAUGACCGGCGUUAGACUUCAAGAGCUGGUCAUUAAGGAAGUUCACUUUCGCCUCACAAAGCGCAUUUCUCUCGGUGACCAAGCUGGUUACUGAACCUUUAAGAGGAAAUUCCUGCUUUGAACAAGGACUUUAAUUACCAAGUACUUGAGAUAAAUUAUAUUUGUUGGUUUUGAAAUCAUAUAUUAGCCUUCUUUACUGAAGUUGAGGGUAUUUUCUUCUUCCUCAGUGUUUUGGAUUACACAUUCGUUAUGUCGACACAGUUAGAUAAUCGGUUUGGAGGGCAUGCAGCGCCACCAACGGUGACCCGAGAAGAUAUCCGACAGAUUGAACUGUUCUUCUGCAGUCUCAAAAGCAAGGUCUAUGUUUGUCCCGCCCUUUGCAACUUGUACUUUGCUACUUUGGAAGAAAUGGCGAAUCUUGGUGGCUGGGAACUACAGACUACUGGCUUUCCAACGUUGAUAUUCGAUACAGGCGCACUUAGACGCACUCCCAGGCUGCAACUGUGCAUCGCUGAGAAAGGCACUGGUUUUGUCAAAUGGAAAGAGGACCUCGGUUUGAAAACCAUGUACAAAGCACCUGGUGACAAAUUCCAUACUAUCACUCUUUCUUCGGAUUCGAGACGGAUCGCCGGAUUGAGUUUUGACGAUCAAAACGCGGCCGCGGAUCUCUUACGCACCGCUGAGUCUUGGUUGCAGGAAAAAUGUGCGAUGGAUCGUGAAAGUGCAGCCGAUGCCGAUAAGAAAAAGAAAAAGAAGAAAUCUAAAUCGGUAAAGGUCAUCCUACCGAGGAAAGAAACAAUAUCACUUCCGUGUCAAUUUGAACACAUUACCCGUAUAGAUUCAAAGAAUAUCAACCGCAAACUCAACUCCGCGCAAUCAAUGGAUGUGAACGACUCAGAAGAAGCCUACGAUCAACAUGCGCGGAUAACCACGUACGGCAAAACGAAACAGACGUCUUAUGGCUACGCAGAAAGCACGUCAACGGAAGAUUCUGGACUCGAUGAAAUAUUUACAGACCAAAUAUGACUGUGACAAGCAGAAGUUAACCUUUAAAAAAUUGGUAGAAUGAAAGACAAUUUUGUGAUCGAUCGAAUGAAUCGAAUGCAUAUAUGUAAAAAACAUGUACAGAUUUUAUUUCAAACAUUUAGCAUUUUUAUAAAAGAUUUGUUUUUUCUGUCAUGUUACAGCAUGUCACGACAGAUUUGGUACUGUCAUUUGAAGGGUGAUUGUCUCUUUAAAAAUAUUAAGGAAAGCAUUCAUUUAUGAUGUUGUGUCUAUGCCAGCGUGUUAUGAUAGGUAAAUUCGACAUAAAGGUGAUGCUAUUUUAUUCGUAACUGAAUACAAGUGGUAUUGCAUAGUUUCAUAAAACAGACCUCCUUUAUAGAGGUUUUCUCUUUCGUUUUUUCUCCGUCUAACUCUUUUAUUUGUCCUCAUUAUUUACUUUUCGUAUAAUUACUUAUAGGGGAUAUUAUUGCUCCCUGCGGCAACACCCUAGUCUGCUGGGCAAACCCUUCACUCGGGUUAAGGGUCUGAAUGUGCAGCCUACUCAUGCCUUGUGUACUGAAGGCUCUCUCGAUCAGCAAGUUUUGUAUGUGCUAGUCUUUGCGUGGAGUGUUGAUCAAAGUUUCAAUCAGGGUAUGUGCCUGCAGACUAGCUUGCAAGUACUUACGCUCCGCCAUUAUCAACUUGUAGAUUAUUUUCUACCCCAACCAUUUCGGUGGGCAAUGAAUAUAGGCCUGUAUGUAUGUAUUUAAGUUAUAUUUGCAGAGGGGAGAAGUGUCUCUAUAAACGCGAUAAUGUGAGAGUCAUAGCUAAAUGACGAUGUCGUCAAAAUGAUUAAUGAUGUUAUGAUAACGCAUCGAAAUGGAAUUAAUUGUCAUCAUGCAAUGAGAGGUGAUCAUUAACGCACAAAUUUAUUUAAAAAAUGAAUAGUGAAGUUUAUUGCUGUAUCAGUAUGGUUGUGCUGGUGUAUAUUAUAAAGGAUGAUCAUUAUUAGAUCUUUAAAGAAUUUUAAUGGUAGGCACAUUGUGUGGUAUAAUGAUAAACCUGCACAGCAAAAACUGCGGUGUUAGUCGGUGUACAUAGAGGACCACACCAGUGAUUUUACACUGGUGUUAAAUUGACAGUGUUAGUUUAGCACCUAUAGGUGUUAUUGCAACACCUUUGGUUGUUACAUGUACACUCUUUGGUGUUAUAUUCAAUCUCUAGGGUGUAAUCUUAACACCAGAGGGUGUGGUCCUCUAUUAACACCCACUGGUGUCAGUUUUAACACCACAGUUUUUACAGUGUGAUGAAAUUACAUCGAUAGGGCGGGAAAUUGAAUCGCCAGGACUGCAAAUCGCCUGACCUGUCAAUGUCGUAUUACGUGAUUAUAAUUUGAGCAAUGAGCAUCAUUGCAAUAGACACACUGGUGUAACGAUAUUGGUUGGGUGGCCUUGAUUCGCUGUACCCCCCCCCCCCCCCCGAAAAAAAUGUCAGUGUAAUGUCCUUUAAUAUUGUACUUUUCGAUGAAUUUCCUGCACCAUCCUGCAUACAUUAUGGACGAUUGAAAUUAUCAUUUGUCAACAUAAUGACAGAAUAUUGAAAUUGUGUAAUAAUUGACUCGUUUGCUUCGUUCGCUCGAGUUAUUAAGUAAAUUAAUAAUUCAUCAUUAUGCAUCCGGACUCAGCUCCUCAAACAUUACUUGUCUCAUUGCGCCUAUCAAUGGAUAUGUAGCCGUGAUUGUUAUCACAAUUCAUAAAGAAAAAAUAUGCGUAUAAUGUAGCUAAAUAUCACCAAUUUAUUUUUCAACCAAGUCAAUAAAGAUUUAUAUAUCAAGACCUAACUCGGAAAGUCAUGCAUGGACAUGUACUACCCAUUCGUGUAGAUUUAUGUAACGCUGUCUGCAUAAAAAUGCAUGGUCAGAAGAUGGGUGGAGUACGAAAGCAAUCCGGAGAUUGGUGUAAUAUUUAUCUAUGUCACCGGAUAUGUUGUGUACACAUGGGAUAGAUACUAUUAUGUUUUGAAGGAAGUGACUGCCACUAUGAUCACAAAGCACAACAUAAGAUGUCACCACUCUCGAUAAUAUCAUGUUUGAUAUACACAUACAAGGCUGCAGUCACACACAUGAAACCGGCUCCAAACCGAUCGCCGAUAUGUCAUUCAAAAUAACGUGAUAGAUUUGAUCGGUCAGGGGCCCGUUGCAGAAAGAGUUGCGAUCAAAUGCAACUGAAAAUAUCUUGCGCAACUUGAUUUUCAGCCAAUGUGGGACCCGUAUUAAAAGCCAGCAACGUCAACAUAAUUAUGUUUGAUAAAAAUAUUUCGAUGUACACGUAUAUUCAUACAUUCACUGUUUGCUUGACGAUUCAGUAUGCUUCUCUUUGUUUUCAAAGGACGUAAUGCAAAUUCCCUAAAGAAAACAUUAUGACAUUUCUGGAUUUCCAUAGAAUUUAGGUUGAUCGGAUCAAUUGUAACUCUUUGUAAGACGGGGCCCUGUAGUCGGUUUCGUUGGUGAGACUGUAAAAUAGGGAUCAUUUAUCGUUCAGCAUGUCACGUGUGAUAACAUGAGGCAAUGUUCAUGUUUAAAAGUAGCAGUGUAUUUAUUCAUUAAAGCGAAUGAUUAUAA